rnacentral:rRNA from 1 species
UACAGAGGUCUCGAGCGUUGUUCGGAUUCAUUGGGCGUAAAGGGCGCGUAGGCGGUCAGCACAAGUCAGUUGUGAAAUCUCCGGGCUUAACUCGGAAAGGUCAACUGAUACUGUGCGACUAGAGUGCAGAAGGGGCAACUGGAAUUCUCGGUGUAGCGGUGAAAUGCGUAGAUAUCGAGAGGAACACCUGCGGCGAAGGCGGGUUGCUGGGCUGACACUGACGCUGAUGCGCGAAAGCCAGGGGAGCGAACGGG